AUUCCUAUAGGAUCCUAUAGGAAUUCCUAUAGGAAUUCCUAUAGGAUCCUAUAGGAAUUCCUAUAGGAUCCUAUAGGAAUU